rnacentral:rRNA from 1 species
CAGUCGCCGCGGUAAUACGAAGGGGGCUAGCGUUGCUCGGAAUUACUGGGCGUAAAGGGCGCGUAGGCGGACAGUUCAGUCGGGGGUGAAAGCCCGGGGCUCAACCCCGGAAUUGCCUUCGAUACUGGCUGUCUUGAGUAUGAGAGAGGUGUGUGGAACUCCGAGUGUAGAGGUGAAAUUCGUAGAUAUUGAGAAGAACACCGGUGGCGAAGGCGGCUCUCUGGACCGAUACUGACGCUGAGGCGCGAAAGCGUGGGGAGCAAACAGGAUUAGAUACCCCGGUAGUCCCUGUCUCUUAUAC